GUCCCAGUAGCGCAGUGAAUAGCGCGCUGGACUUCUAAUCCAAAGGUCGUGGACUCGAAAACCACCAGGGAUG